rnacentral:rRNA from 1 species
GAUGAACGCUAGCGGCAGGCCUAAUACAUGCAAGUCGGACGGGAUCCAUUGAUGCCUUGCUAUCAAUGGUGAGAGGGGGGCGCGUGUGCGUAACGCGUGAGCAACCUGCCUCCAUCAGGGGGAUAUCCUCUCGACAGAGAGAUUAACACCGCAUAAUAUCAACAGUUCGCAUGUUCUGUUGAUUAAAGAUUUAUAGGAUGGAGAUGGGCUCGCGUGACCUUAGUUAGUUGGUAGGGUAACGGCCUACCAAGGCUACGAUGUCUACGUGCUCUGAGAGGCGGCUACCCCAGACUGGAAAUGCGACACGGACCAGACUGCUACGCGACGCAGGAGUAAGGAAUAUUAGGCGAUGGGCGGUAGCCUGAACAAGCCACGCCGCGUGUAGGAUGACUGCCAUAUGGGUUGUAAACUGCUUUUGAACAGGAAUAAACCUAAAUACGAGUAUUUAGCUGAAGGUACUGGAAGAAUAAGGAUCGGCUAACUCCGUG